rnacentral:rRNA from 1 species
UACGUAGGGUGCGAGCGUUGUCCGGAAUUAUUGGGCGUAAAGAGCUCGUAGGCGGUUUGUCGCGUCUGUCGUGAAAGCCCACGGCUUAACCGUGGGUCUGCGGUGGAUACGGGCAGACUAGAGGCAGGUAGGGGAGAAUGGAAUUCCCGGUGUAGCGGUGAAAUGCGCAGAUAUCGGGAGGAACACCUGUGGCGAAGGCGGCUUUCUGGGCCCUACCUGACGCUGAGGAGCGAAAGCAUGGGGAGCGAACAGG